rnacentral:rRNA from 1 species
AUUGAACGCUGGCGGCAUGCCUUACACAUGCAAGUCGAACGGUAACGGGCCUUCGGGUGCCGACGAGUGGCGAACGGGUGAGUAAUGCAUCGGAACGUACCUUUCAGUGGGGGAUAACGUAGCGAAAGUUACGCUAAUACCGCAUAUUCUGUGAGCAGGAAAGCAGGGGAUCGCAAGACCUUGCGCUGAUUGAGCGGCCGAUGUCAGAUUAGCUAGUUGGUGAGGUAAAGGCUCACCAAGGCGACGAUCUGUAGCGGGUCUGAGAGGAUGAUCCGCCACACUGGAACUGAGACACGGUCCAGACUCCUACGGAGGCAGCAGUGGGGAAUUUUGGACAAUGGGGGCAACCCUGAUCCAGCCAUGCCGCGUGAGUGAAGAAGGCCUCGGUUGUAAGAC